rnacentral:rRNA from 1 species
GGUUUUGAUCAUGGCUCAGAUUGAACGCUGGCGGGAUGCUUUACACGGCAAGUCGAACGGCAGCACGGACUUCGGUCUGGUGGCGAGUGGCGGCGAACGUAGCAGUAAUGUAUCGAACGUGCCUAGUAUGGGGAUAACUACGCGAAAGCGUAGCUAAUACCGGGUACACGCCCUUCGGGGGAAAGCGGGGGAAUCCGGGCCUCGCACUAUUAGAGCGGCUGAUAUCGGAUUAGCUAGUGGGGUAAACGGCUCACCAAGGCGACGAUCCGUAGCUGGUUUGACUAGCCACACUGGGACUGAGACACGGCCCAGACUCUACGGGAGGCAGCAGUGGGGAAUUUUGGACAAUGGGGAAACCCUGAUCCAGCCAUCCCGCGUGUAGCGAUGAAGGCCUUCAAGUUGUAAAGCACUUUGCAGGAAGAAACGGCACGGGAUAAUACCCUGUGCAACUGACGGUACCUGCAGAAUAAGCACCGGCUAACUACGUGCCAGCAGCCGCGGUAAUAAUGUAGGCGCGUUAAUCGGAAUUAUUGGGCGUAAAGCGCGCAGGCGGUUCGGAAAGAAAGAUGUGAAACCCAGAGCUUAACUUUGGAACUGCAUUUUUAACUACCGAGCUAGAGUGUGUCAGAGGGAGGUGGAAUUCCGCGUGUAGCAGUGAAAUGCGUAGAUAUGCGGAGGAACACCGAUGGCGAAGGCAGUUUCCCUGGGAUAUAAACACUGACGCUCAUGCACGAAAGCGUGGGAGCAAACAGGAUUAGAUACCCCCGUAGUCCACGCCUCAAACGAUGUCAACUAGCUGUUGGGGCCUUCUGGGCCCUGGUAGCGCAGCUUAACGCAGAAGUUUGACCGCCUGGGGAGUACGGUCGCAAGAUUAGAACCCAAAGGAAUUGAUGGGACCUGCACAAGCGGUGGAUGAUGUGGAUUAAUUCGAUGCAACGCGAAAACCUUACCUACCCUUGACAUGUCUGGAAUCCCGAAGAGAUUUGGGAAAAGCUCGCAAGAGAACCGAACACAGGUGCUGCAUGGCUGUCGUCAGCUCGUGUCGAGAUGUUGGGUUAAGUCCUGCAACGAGCGCAACCCUUUGUCAUUAGUUGCUACGAAAGGGCACUCUCUAGACUGAGAUCACAGACAAACCGGAGGAAGGUGGGGAUGACGUCAAGUCCUCAUGGCCCUUAUGGGUAGGCUUCACACGUCAUACAAUGGUCGGGACAGAGGGUCGCCAACCCGCGAGGGGAGCCAAUCCAGAAACCCGAUCGUAGUCCGGAUCGCAGUCUGCAACUCGACUGCGGAAGUCGGAAUCACCGCUAGUAAUCGCGGAUCAGCAUGUCGCGGUGAAUACGCUCCCGGUCUGUACACACCGCCCGUCACAUCAUGGGAGUGGGUUUUACCAGAAGGAAGUUAGCCUAACCGUAAGAGGGCGAUUACCACACAUGGUAGGAUUCAUGACUGGGUGAAGUCGUAACAAGGUAGCCC